rnacentral:lncRNA from 10 species
AUUACCUGAUCCAGACCAGAUCCAGCACCGCAGAGGGAAAGGUGCUAUAGAGGACACGAUGCGGCCAAUGGGAAUAUGAGUGGUGAGGUAUUCUAUCAGUGUUAGAUGGACGGAAUUUGACAACUGUACUGCAGUCGUCAGAGAGUAUCUUCUUCUUGGUGGGACAGAUCUGCAUGAUAUUUGGGCAUCUCAAAACUGACGAGCCCAAAACUGACCAUGAGUCACACCCCCAGAUGUGUUCUCUAACUACUCCCUAGCUCUGUG